ensembl:snoRNA
ACCUUCCAGCUUCCUUACCCAUCAGACCUAAACACUGGUUUGAGUGGUUAUAAAAGGAGGAAAUGUAAAAUUGCAGCUGAUUUAAAUUCUUUGUGACAUAUGAACUAAUUUCAAACAAAC